GCGGAUAUGGUGGAAUGGUAGACACGCAGGCUUGAGGUGUCUGUCCUUGUCAAAAGGGGUGAAGGUUCAAAUCCUUUUAUCCGCACCA
rnacentral:tRNA from 1 species